rnacentral:ncRNA from 2 species
AAACCAUCAAGAGAAACCGAGAGACUGGCUCUAUGACGUUUCAGCAACCUAUCAAAAGAUGUGGUGCUAAUUCCAGACAGAUGGCUG